GGAGGCGGAGAACCCCGCGCAAUCUGGAGCCGGAAUCAUCUCUGGCCUUGAGAAUUUCAUGUGCCAUAGCAGUCUGAUGAUCGAGCUCGGUGACCAGGUCAAUUUCAUUACCGACUAGAGUGGAAAGUAUGUAGCUGAGAAGGUCCAGAUCGGGAAGGGUGUUGGAGGCUUUUUUAAUCUUCUUUUGCCGAUUGUUGUUCGAUUUUGAUACAUUCAAGUGGGAGCGCAAUUCUGACGGUGUUUUGCCUGUCGUUUGGUUGCCAAGCCAUGGGCACAGCUGAGGGCUCUGUCUCUCAAAGAUUUUAUCAAGAAUGGUUGUAUUUAUCUUGGUUCUGUUAGAUAAACAUUGAUGAAUGGAGGAGAUAAUCCCAAAUAGGAGUUUCCAGAGGUGUAUCAUUUGUGUACAUAAGGAGGAAGCUAAUGGUAUCGGCAAAAAUAGUGACCUAAUAUCAAUAUCGAGUUCCUUCUACUGUGUGCUCACAUGCUCAUACAUAUAUGUUCGGCUUGAUAUCUCUAUUAUUUUAAAUGAAGGCAUUGAGAUAUUUAUGUUAUUUUUGCAUUACCAUUGUGCUCUUGAGACAUGCGUUGGAGCUUGGGUUCAAGCCUAAAGAUGGUAGCAAUGGUGAAAUCUACCAAUUAUAUGAAACAAUCCAUUUGAGUUUUGCAUCCAAUUGCUGAUUCUAUCAAAACCAAAAGAUCUGGGGAAUGUAUUUUGACAACUUCCUCCGAAGACUGGUUGAAGUAGAUGAUGACAGAAACUGUGGAUCAACAACCACUGUUCGUGAGUUGAUAGUACUUCAAGUAUGAAUGAUGGUGGUAUUUACUCAUUCCAUAUUUGUAUGUUUCCAAGAACCUCGUGUAUACUUUUUUUAUUAUUAUUAUUCACUGCCAUGGUUUGUUAAAUAAGGUUUAAGUUAUU